AACAUAAUUUUAUUUAAUUUAAAUCAUAUCAAUUUUCAGCUCAGAAAUCGGUGUGAAAGUCUCAGACAAUUUAGAUAUUUAAAUCAUAGCUUGAACAAGAUUAUCAACUGAUGUCGGCAAUCUGAACUUUCUCAGUCAUCAUUGACUUCAUCACCCGCAUCAAAUUAUUAAUAAAAUGUUAGAGACGGGGACAACCCGUGCAAUUACCAUAACAGAACGGAUGGUUUAAUUCUAAAUAAUAACAUAAUCAAAUCAAAACGUAGGUAGGAAAAAAUAACACGUUCGAAUUAAGUGUUGACGAUGCAACUAAUGGGUGAAGUUAGAAGAGUUUCAAUCUUGAACAAGUUUCAGAGAAUCUAAGUAGCUUUGUUUCAGCAAUGUGCAAAGUGCAAACCCUUUGAAAGCAAUAUGAAACAACAAUGUUAGGUGCAAACAAAAGCAACUCAUCAAUAUCAAUGAUAUAUAGAUAUAUUAACAAUAUUCAAGUGAGGAAGAAAAAUAAAUUAUAAGAUCCUGCACAAAGCAUUAUUAUUCUUCUUCAUUUAGAAAGA
rnacentral:lncRNA from 1 species